UACGUAGGGGGCAAGCGUUAUCCGGAUUUACUGGGUGUAAAGGGGGCGCAGACGGCGAUGCAAGCCAGGAGUGAAAGCCCGGGGCCCAACCCCGGGACUGCUCUUGGAACUGCGUGGCUGGAGUGCAGGAGGGGCAGGCGGAAUUCCUGUGUAGCGGUGAAAUGCGUAGAUAUCAGGAGGAACACCGGUGGCGAAGGCGGCCUGCUGGACUGCAACUGACGUUGAGGCCCGAAAGCGUGGGGAGCAAACAGG
rnacentral:rRNA from 1 species